UCUGAAAUGUAGACACAUUCAGAAACUGGGUGGUGAUGGCGCAGUGGUAUGACACGUGCCUUUGGUGUGCGAGACCUGGGUUCGAUUCCCACUGCGAUACAUCAACCAAUGUGUCCCUGAGCAAGACACUUAACCCCCAGUUGCUCCAGAGGUGUGCGACCUCUGACGUAUAUAGCAAUUGUAAGUCGCUUUGGAUAA